ACAGAAGGAGGAGGAUCUACCUAUUAUAUAACAGAGAUAAGCACUCAGAUAUAUGGAUUAUAAAUAGUUUAGAAAAUUUAAAUAUUUGAUUAUUCAGAAAGUAGACUUGGGACUAUUGGAGAAACAGGGUGGGGAGUAGACUGCAUGGAGAGCUCUUUCUUAGUGUGGGAUUUUCAAUUAUGCACAUAGGUUUCUUACAUAACAUGGAAAAUUCAAUUAAGAAACAACAUUGUGUUUUGGGGUCCCAAAAGUUCAGUGAUUGAUUAGAAGGACUCACAAAACUGAGUCAAGCUGUUAUACUCAUAGUUAUAGUUUAUUACAACAAAAGGAUACAGAUUAAAAUCAGCAGCAGAAAAAGGUGCAUAGGGCAGAGUCCAGGAGAAACCAAGCACAAGCUUCCAGUUGUCCUCUGCCAGUGGUAUCAUGUGAACAGUGCUUAAUUCACCCAACGAUAUGUGGCAGAAAGUAGAGAAAAUACUCCCCAACAAGAAGCUUACCUGAGUCUUGGGGUUGAGGGUUUUACUGGAGGUUGGUCUCAUGGACAAGAGCACCCAUUUGGAUGACCUUAGUUUCCUGUCUCCACCCUUCCCAAGGUCAAGCUGACACUGCAUGGUCCAAGGUCCCCACAAUAAAUCACAUUGUUAACUCCCACAUAGGCAGGAGAUUCCAAGGACUUAGAGGUUAUUUCCCAGGAGCCGGGCUAGAGUCACACCAUUCUUUGGAGUAUGCCAGGUUUGGGCAAUUCAGGCCUACUAAGUUUCCUUGACUGCACCCAAGUGAUAGUGAGUAUGUAGGAAAUGAGUAGUCGCAUAUAUUGCUGGUGAAAUUAGUGUUAUAUAACCCUUUGGAAAGAAAUCAAGUGUGUAGUGCAUAAACAUUAUAUUUGGUCUGAUUUGUUUUUGUCUAAGACAGGGUCUCACUCUGUCACCCAUGCUGGAGUGCAGUGGCAUGAUCACAACUCACUGCAGCCUCGAACACCUGGGCUCCAGCUAUCCUCCCACCUCAGUCUCCUGAGUAGCUGAGAGCACAGGCACGUGCCACCACACCCAACUAAUUUGUGUGUUUUUUGUACAGACAGGGUUUCACCAUGAUGCCCAUGCUGGUUUCAAACUCCUGGGUUCAAAGAAUCCCCUACCUCAGCUCCCCAAAGUGCUAGGAUUACAGGAGUGAGCCACUGCACCCAACCUAUAUUUGUAUAUACAUUAAAUUGUAUAUGUUAGGCCAGGCGCGGUGGCUCACAAGUGUAAUUCCAGCACCUUGGGAGGGCAAGGUCAGUGGACCACUUGAGGUCAGGAGUUCGAGAGCAGCCUGGCCAACAUGGUGAAAACCCAUCUCCACCAAAAAGACAAAGAUAGCUGGACUUGGUGGCAGAUGCCUGUAUUCCCAGCUACUCAGGAGGCUGAGGCAGGAGAAUCACUUGAAUCCAAGAUGUGGAGGUUGCAGUGAGCUGAAAUCACACCACUGCAUUCCAACCUGGGUGACGGAGCAAAACUCCACCUCAAAAAACAACCAAAAAUUUGGGUAUGUUAUUGUAUGUAUGUGUAUAUACACAUAUUAAAUAUAUAUACAUAUAUUACAUUUUAUACACAUACAUUUGUUUCCUCACGCUAUUUGUUUCAGCAGAAGUAAAAAUUAAUAAAGGUAUAAGUAAAAGAAUAUUUACAGAAGCACUAUUUUUGGUGGCAAAAGUACUUUAGCAUUUUAUAUGCUGAUAUAAUGGAAGAUACUUUAACUCUUACAAAUAAUGAGUUAGCUUUUUAUCUACUAUAAAGAUAUCCUAAUAUCUUUAUACCUAAAGUGAUAUCAAUGGCAAAUUGUUAUAUGAAAAAGGAGAAUGCUUUAUAAUUGAAGAAAAAAAGAAAGAAACGUUAUAUAGUAGCCCUCCCUUAUCUGCAGGAGAUGUGUUCUAAGACCCGCAGUGGAUGCCUGAACCUUGGCUAUCCAAGGCUAUCCAAUGCUAUCAUUGACCCAAUUGCUGUCAAUCAGAACACAUUUCUGUCUAUGAUUUCCAUGCACAAAUUUAAUGCCUUUUUCAUCUUAACUAAGUACUUAUCACACAUGUGGCUGUAUUUUUAGAGCUUGGGGUGCAACAAACAAGACUAACAGAAAUUUCUUUUUCCUUCUUACAUUUUCACCGCUAGAGGAUUUGUUCUUACCAUCGAUCCUAGCAACCUGAGCACAUGACUUCUUUUUCUUUCUAUUUUUUUUUCUUUCUUUCUUUCUUUCUUGGUUGCUUGCUUGCUUGGUUGCUUGCUUGCUUGCUUGCUUUCUUGCUUCCUUUCUCUGUCUUUUUUUCUCUCUUUCUUCCUUUUUUCUUUGUUUCUUUCAUCUUUUUUUCUUUCUUUCUUUCUGUUUAUUUAUUUAUUUAUUGAGAUGGAAUCUCACUCUGUCGCCCAGGUGGGAGUGAAGUAAUGCGAUUUCGGCUCCUUGUAACCUUCAUCUCCCAGGUUCAAGUGAUUCUCAUGCCUCCACCUCCCAAGUAGCUGGGAAUACAAGCGUCUGCCACCACGCCCAGAUAAUUUUUGUGUUUUUUGUAGUGAUGGGGAUUCACUAUGUUGGCCAGGCUAGUCUUGAACUCCUGACCUCAAAUGAUCCACCCAGUUCAGUCUCCCAAAGUACUGGGAUUACUUGCAUGAGCCACCGCACCUGAGCUGUAUAUGCCAUUGUAUGAUUGCAAAUAAUUAUAUGAAUCUUGGAGAACAUCAUGGAAAGAUGUUCAUCAUCUUGUUAACUGGUUAUUUCAAGAGUGGAACUGGAAGGGGAAUACUGCCUUUCCUGUGUAUUUGUUUGUAAUGUUUCAUUUUCAUUAUGAACAUGUAUUAUUUUAAUAUGUUUAAAUAUUAAUAAACACAGGCAAAAAUAUGUAAUUUUAAUUCAAGCUGAAAUCGUCAAGGCAAUCAUACAUAACAGAUGGAGCAAAUAAAACAUUUAAAAUCCCUGAAUGAAAAGGAGGGGAGGCCGGGCAUGGUGGCUCACGCCUACAAUCCCAGCACUUUGGGAGGCCGAACCAGGCAGAUCACUUUGGGUCAGAAGUUUGAGACUGCCUUGGCCAAUUGAGACCCCUUGACUCGAUUGGAAUUGGUCCCACAAACUUUUUUUUUUUGAGGGAGUCUCGCACUGUCACCCAGGGUGGAGUGCAAUGGGGCAAUCUCGGCUCACUGCAACCUCUGCUCCUGGGUUCAAGAAAUUAUCCUGCCUCAGCCUCCCUAGUAGCUCAGACUUCAGGCAAUGAAACUAAAGAAAGUCAGGGGAUGGCUAAAGGAUGGAGGAUACCUGGGCUGGGGGAGGAGGGAGAAUGCGACGGGUGAACACAGACAGGCUUCCAAAGUGGUGUCCAGGUUGUAUUUCUUCACUAGGUGGUGGGCACACAGGCAUGCAUUUUUCCUUAUCUUUAAAUUGUACAUAUUUCAUACACUUCUCCAUAUGUAUUAUACAUUUCAAAAUAGUACAUCUUUUAAAAAAUCACAGUGGUUAAUGCAAUCAGUACAGGUGCCAGGCACAUACCAGAGACUCCAGGUGACGGCAUGCUCUCCUCUUGGGCUCCUCAUCUAGGGCUGAAAGUUUAUUUCUCACCCCUGCCGCCAGCACCCCCCAUGCCAGCCCAUGUCUCUAAGUGCUGAGGGGAAGGUGUAUGAACAGAGACAGAUACGGCCGUGGAGGAACCCGGAGGGAGGGCCCUCCACUUGGUGAGGACGGAUUGUGAGGCUGGUCAGUGCUGAAGCUGAGUAUCUUGCUUACUAGAGCAAAGGGGAACUGUGCUUAUAGGACCAUCUCUCAGAGCAAAACAAAUUAAGUCUCUUGGGAAGCCUGGCAUUGAGGAUUGUCCAGCUUUCAGAAGUGAGAGUGUUCAGCCUGACUUCAGGGGCACAAGGUUCUUGCUGCCUGGGCCUGUUCUGUAGUGUGGGGCUGUCCCUGACUGGCCAGCUUUCAGAAGCAUGCAGCAUUGUCAUUGACUUAUUGGGGUUUCAUGCCACCACAGCCAAAAAGCAGUUUGUUUUUGUCCUUGAGUUUGGACUAUAGAUUGUUAUUCUCUCCAGGCAAAGGCAGGAAGCACACGGGAACAGGUAGCGCCAGGUGGCUGCAGGCCGGUGGUCUGGCUGGAGCUCAGUGCAGAAGCACAAGACGGUGGUGAGGAGUGAGGCAGACCCAGGGGACUGAAACACCACUGGAAAGAAGGUUCCACCCAGAGCAGUGGGGGCCACAGAGUGAUCCUGAGGGGAGAUUUACACAGAGAUGCGUUUGAGGAAAAGCAGAGACCAGUGGGAAUGCUGGUGCUCUCCGCCAGAGGAGAGGCGACGGUGAUCGGGACGAGAUAGACACCGAGGCGGUGAAAAUGGAGAGGCCAUGUGAAGGUGGAAGGGACAGAAUUUGGUGACAAGCGUCCAGACUGACGCCCAGGUUUCCACUUGGGGAGACCAGAAGGUGGCAGGGCGAAUUCCAAUGCCAGGUCUCCGGGGAGAGCACACUCAGGAGGAAGAUGAGAGUCCGGGUCCCUGUGGGAUGGACGUGGAGCCCUCUAGGGGCAUUGAACUCUAUAGAUCUGCCAGUCAGGGGCAGAGGGGUCCAGGGCAGAGGAGACAGAGAUCUGGGCACCACCCACGAAGGCACAGUGGACAGGGGAUGGAGCCCUCUGGAGGGAGCCAGCGCAAGGGUGCGAGAAGGAGCUUGCAAAGGAAGCAGAGCGGCAGCCAGGACAAGGGAAGGCACCCGCGAGGAACUUGCCUGCAGACCCCAGGGUUGAGUAGGCUUUAAGGAGGAGUGCAUGGGGAGCGCUGGGCCGCUCACAGACUGAACACACAGAGGCUGGCGUGGAUGCCUGUGGCCUCUGCCCUUGCAACAACCUCUGUCUUGGGUCAGGUUUCCUGGAAGCAGAGCUGAGAUGGAAUUCCUGUGGAGGUGAUUAUGGAGGGGGUGCUCCUAGGAAAGGAGAGUGGGGGUAGAGAGCCGGUGCAGAGAGCUGAGCAAGGCUGUGACUGCUUCAGCCUGGUUGGAUGAAGGGGAGUUCAGGAGCACUGCACAUCACGGCUGUCCCUGCCUUGAGGCCAGGACCAUUUUGUGUCUCCUCUCCCUCCCCUCAUCAAUCAGGCACUGGGUUGUGGGGGAGGGUGUGACCUUCUGGGUGAGGCAGUUUUCCCACUUGGCCUAGGGCAAUGAGCCUCCGCUAUCCUCAGGCAGCCACCAUUGCCUGAAGACAAGUGAGACCCCAUGUGCUUGGGCAAAACCAGCCCCUUCCCAGCUCCCAGCAUUCAGGGAGGGUCUUUGAGUAAGACCACCCUAAGCUGCCUCCUCUGCUGGCAAACUCCCUGUCACUGCUUUCCCCACUGUCUGCCACUGUAGACCCCAGGAUGAAGCUCAUUAUGCUGCUUCUCCCUCUGUAUGGAAAGUUCGAGUCCCCCCAGGCCACCCCUUGCCCCAGACAGCUCUGUAUAACCCCUUCUCAGACCCCUUCCCCCCAUCCCCAGUUCCCUCAAACCCUUCCACUCUCGAGCUCCUGACCAGCCAUGAGCAACGUCCCCCAUAUCCUAAACUUUUUGUAAACCAAAAAUAAAAUUCUGAGGGCCCCCCAGCCAUCUGAAUGGACCUCCUCCUCUGCCAGGGCACUCUUAUAAUGUAAUCUGAAAUACUGGUUCAGGCCAUGAUGGGAAGUGGGGAUCGGACUUGCAUGAUUAUCGCUCCAGCAUUAACAUCAACACAUUUUAGUCUGAUAAGAAAUAUUUUACAGUCUAUUCUCUCUGAAGCCUGCCACCUGAAGGCUUCCUCUGCAAAUAAGAACUUUGGUUUCCACAAUCCUUUAUCUUAACCCAAACAUUUUCUUUCUAUUGAUCCCAGGUCUUUAAAUCAACUCAACAAAUUGUCACCCAGAAAAUUUUUAAAUCUGCCUAUAGCCUGGAAGUCCCCCCUCACCCACCCCCCGCCUUCUAGUUCUCUUGCUUUUCUGAACCAAUUUAUUUCUUAAAUGUAUUAGAUUGAGGUCUCAUGUCUCCCUAAAAUGUGUAAAAUGAAGUUGCACCCUGACCACCUUGGACAUAUGUUCUCAGGACCUCCCGGGGGCUGCAUCAUGGGCCAUGAUCACUCAGGUUUGGUUCAGAAUAACUCUCUUCAAAUAUUUUACAGAGUUUGACUGUUUUUUGUCAACACUUUGAGCAUCCCCUUGACUGUGCUGUAACUGGAGAUGGACACCCGCUCGCCCCUCAAGGACCGCAUCGCUCUCCAGCACUCCUCCUCUUCUUAUAACUUUUGGUGAUUUCCGUUUCCAGGGGGUGAUCCCUGCAAAACCCUGGCCUGCUCUCCUUUCAUGGUCUUGACCUCAAAACUACCCCAGCCCUCCUCUCCCAUGGCCACACCCUAGAUAUUGUGGCCCAUAACCAUAAAGUCUUCUCUCUCCACGAAGACAAUUCCGAGUGGCCAACCAGCAGCGGGAGUAUUGCCAUCUUGGACAAGCACUGGUCAGCAUGACCAAAAACCACAAAUAACAUCUCAGACCAGAAACAUUCCAAACCCCUCCCUCACCAGAGGCAUGCCAGCCCCGAGAUAACCUCCCCUCCGGCCAGAGAUAUGUCAGCCCCAAAGCUGCGUUUUGUGUUUCUCUUCUCUUUCUUUAACACUUACACUCCUGAUUGUGUCCAGCUGACUUCUGCAGUGCCUCACCUAAACAUUCCUUCAAUGGCUGGGCUUACACUCCACUGAUCCCUCCACAUUUUCACUGUGGUCACCCCUCUGUCCUCCCUCCCCCCUCCCAGGUAUUAUGGUGGGCACCAAACAUUCUCAGCAGCAUAUGCCAGUUCCUCCAAGUCUUCUCUUCAUUAGACCAACGUCCCCAGGCCCCCAGUUUUCCCCAACAGGAUAUGGACCACAGAUCAGCCAUGUCCUAGCAUCUUCACCUGGUGCUUCUGUCCAUCUGUCCAUGUCUUCUUGUCCCUGGAAAGCAUGUUCUCUGAGAGCAGAGAUUGUGUUUCCUGCAUCUCUGUCUCCUGUUGCCCAGCACAGAAUUGGUGCUCAAUGAAGAUUUGUCCAUCCAGAUGAAGAAUGGAUGGGUGGCUGGAUGGGUAGGCAGAUGGAUGAUGAGUGGGUAGAUGGGUAGGUGGAUGGGUGGGGACAGAUGGAUGGAUGGAGAUAGAUGGAUGAUGAAUGGAUGGAUGGAUGAGUGGGGGGAUAGAUGGAUGGGGAUGGAUGGAUAAUGAAUGAAUUGGUAAGUGGAUGGGUGGGUGGAUGGAUGGAUGGGUGGAUGAGUGGGUGGAUGGAUGGAUAAUGAAUGCAUUGGUAGGUGGAUGGGUGGAUGGAUGGAUGGGUAGAUGGGGUGGAUAGAUGGAUGGGUAGAUGGGGUGAAUGGAUGGAUGGGUAAGUGGAUGGAUGGAUGGGAAUAGAUGAUGAAUGGAUGAGUGGGUGGAUGGGUAGAUGGAUGGGGAUGGAUUGAUAAUGAAUGAAUUGAAAGGUGGGUGGGUGGGUGGAUGGAUGGAUGGGUGGAUGGAUGGAUGGGUAGGUGGAUGGGUAGAUGGGGAUAGAUGGAUGAUGAAUGGAUGAGUGGGUGGGUGGAUGGAUGGGGAGGGAUUGAUAAUAAAUGAAUUGAUAGGUGGAUGAGUGGGUGGAUGGAUGGAUGGAUGGGGAUGGAUGGAUAAUGUAAGAAUUGGUAGGUGAAUGGAUGGAUGGGGUAGAUGGAUAAUGAAUGGAUUGGUAGGUGGAUGGAUAAUGAAUGGAUUGGUAGGUAGAUACAUGGAUGGAUGGACAGGAAUGAAUGGAUAAUGAAUGGAUUGGUAGGUGGAUAGAUGGAUGAGUGGAUAGAUGGAUCGAUAAUGAUUGAUGGAUGGAUGGAUGGGGAUGGAUGGAUAGAUAAAUGGAUUGGUAGGUGAAUGGACAAAUGGAUGGAUGGAUGAGUGGGUAGCUGGAUGGGGAAUUAGUGGGUAGGUGGGAGAAUGGAUGAUGGAUGGAUGGAUGGAUGGAUGGAUGGAUAAAUGGAGGGAUGCAUGAUGAACUUCUCCCUUGUUCCCAGCCUAGUCCUAGAAUAUGUUGCCUCUUCUCAAAAAUAAGGUACCACAAAGCCUCUGGUGACGGUGGAGCAAAGGAAUAGAUGGUGAAUGUCUCAUACCCACUUCGGAUCCAGAACAGGCCUAGGAGAGACUCAGGUGGGAUCUGCUGCUGAGGAAGGGGGUUGGGGCUGAAGUUGGAGGAGGAGGGCAGCUCUAAACCACCUGUUCCUGGCUCUAGGCCUCUCAGGCCAGACAGCCCCCACCCGUUUCUGCAGAUGCCCGCAUCAUGGUCCUGAGGGGAUGGGGGCUGGCCUGGAGCCUUUCCCCCGUGGUGUGUGGCUAUAGCGGGGACAUGAAGGGGGUGUGUUGGGGACGUAGUGACCACUCCCUUCUACCGUCAGAGAUCCUGCUUCCCCCUGCCCCCUGCCCCUCCUCGGCUGCCCUUCAUAACCCCCCACCCACUCCCCACCUGCCAUCUCCUGUGCUUGUGCGGAUCCAGGAAGCACCUACCUGGGCACAGAGAUCAUCGCUCGGUGCCUCGCCCCUACACAAGGGCGAUUAACUUCUCUGUUAUGAACUCCUACUUAGUAAUUCUGACAUGAAACUCCCACUAGGAUAAAACUUGGCGCAGAACAGCAAUUACUGAAAACACAUUUUUAAAAAGGUUGAUGUUUUGUAAGAGUUCAUCCUCCUCCACUCCUCAGCCUCCCUCAAGGAGACACAUAUUUAGAUCUUCUCUGUGUGAGUCUAACUUGGAGACUGUGAGUUGCAGUUUAAAAGGGGCUCUGGGGCCAGGUGCGGUGGCACACACUUGUGGUCUCAGCUACUCAAGAGGCUGAGAUGUGAGGAACGCUUGAGCCCAGGAGUUCAAGACCAGCCUGAGCAACAUAGGGAGAUGGGAUCUACCCAAAACAUUUAACAAUAAGGCUGGCAUGGUGGCAUAUGCCUGUGGUCCCAGCUACUUGGAGGCUGAGGCAGGAGAAUCAUUUAAGCCUGGGAGAUCGAGGCUGCAGUGAGGUAUGGUUUCAACUGCUGUGCUCCAGCCUGGGAGACAGGGCAAUACUGUGUCUCUAAAAAAUAAAAAAUAAAAAUAAAAAAAUAAAGGGCUCUGAGCCCAGCCCUCUGGCCAGGGCCUGGUGCAGUGGCAGAGGCUUGGGUCCCUGCCAGGUCUCCUGAAACGUCUCCAGGGUCUGCUGGGGCAGCCACCUGGGUGCUCAGUUGCUCUGUUAAACAGCAAAAUUCCCAAGUCCUCAUCUCAAUGAGCCACUGAGGCCGAUGAAGAGGGCCUGUCUCAUUUAGGACAUGAGUGGCCAGGCGGGUGCCACAGGCCCUUUUCCUGGUGACAACAAAGCCAUUGCAUGGCUCCAGGAAGGCCACAUCAUUUCCCGGGCUUCGUAGGCACCUGCGGGGCGGAAACAGUUCAGCAGGGCCCUCCUGAUCACAAGGAAGAGGUCAUACCGGCUGCUGCACGGCAGGGCUGCACUCUGCCAGGGAGCGUCCUGUGAGGGAGGGGCUGCACUGCCACUUUACUGAUGAGGAAAUUAAGGUUCAGAGAGAUGAGGUCAUUUGUUAGAGGCCAGACAGCCUCCUCAGCCCAUUUCUAAGGUUGUUUCUGUGGUAUUUGCCAUAAAGCCAUAGGUUCAUUGAUUUGUUCUUAAGUAGUUCUGAGCCCUUCCUGCAUAUCAGGCAGGGACAAACAGGAAAGUCCCUGCCUUUGGCAAGUGCGGGGGAAAUGAAAUGAUUCUGCUCAGCCUCAUCCAUUGGUCUGAACAAUCACGUCUCAUGACCGCAGGGACACGGCUUCCCCUGAACGCGGAUCCUAGAGGCCAGGCAGAAGCAGCAUGGGUUUCCACUCACACGGUAGGCGGCUGUGCAAUUUCGUCUGGAGUCCGCAGACCCCUCCUCAUCCUUCCCAGGGUUGCUCUGAGGCCAUUCCUCGUCAUCUAGGAGGGGUCUACAUAAAAGCAUUUAUAAACACCUCCAAAUGGGAGCCAGGCGUGCCCACCUUUGGAGCACUUUUCUCUACUGCAAAUUUAUCUACUGCUCGUGAAAUCUCUGGAUUUAACUCUGAUGAAAGACUGGAGGCUGAAGGAGAACUUCAAUAUCAUAUAUUUUAAAGGUUGAUUCACAGUUUGGAGCAAGAAUUAAAGAACCACGAACUUCAAGGUAAAACGGGCAACGGCGUUGGGGCAAGCCUCUCUGCAUCUGCGUGUCCAGCCUCUCCUGCAUGCCAGAAGUCCCCAGGCAGGAGUGUGGUGGGACAUCCGGCUGGGGUGAUGUAAAAUUCUCAAACAAUGAGAUAGAUAAAAAGUACGCAGCCAAAAAGUUCAAGAAGAAGUGUUAUGGAGAUGGAGCAGGCCCUUCGUAAAAACACGAUGUUGGUUUUCUGGAUUUUGGAGGCCUCACAAAACCCGGAUCAGACUCGCCCACUGCCCUGUGUCUGCCCUCCCGACCGCCUCUCCUGCCCAGCAGGGAUGAGGGUGGCAGUGGUGCUGUGUGGAGGGUGGCGGGAGGACCUGGAAGACUGCGACCAGUGAGCCGGGAGGCCUUGGGACAGCCUCUCUCUGAAUCAUCCUGUGCACUGCCGGGUGUGACAGAGGCUCCUAGAAUCCUGUCUCAAGUGGCCGCCUUCACAGAGGGAGUCACUGACGUCCCUGCUCAGCGCAGCCCUGGCAUGUGGGGGUCCCUCUACUCAUGAGAAACCCCCACCCAAUCACCGUGAGGUGUGUGACCCAUGCUCACAUCCAGGGGCCACUCAUUCAUUCAGGAAACAUUGGCCGAGCCCUCAGCAGGGGGCGGUGCUGGAUGCCGGGAUGUAGAGAGUGGGGUGGGACAAGGACUUGGUUGUGAGACGUCCCAGUCCGGGGAAGGACUAAGAGAAGGUGAC